rfam:Dipodomys ordii contig_66333, whole genome shotgun sequence.
GGGAAGGUGGCUCAGUGGUAGAGCGAUUGCCUUGCAUGCAUGAGGCCCUGGGUUCGAUUCCUCAGCCCCA